rnacentral:tRNA from 1 species
AGUUAAUUAUACCGGUAUUUCUUUUUGGGGAAAAAAAGAAAUGAUGGGUAAUUUCGUUUUGACUU